GCUUUCAGGUUAGCCUGAGCGAGGACGUUGUAAUGUUCUUCAAGUUUCUCAGGCCAUGCAUGAAAUGGGCAGUCAUUUCCACAUACUGAGCUGGGCAACACGUGUCUCUGAUAGAGAAGGAAAGAGGCCUUAUACAUGCUGACAGACAUAGGAUUCCCUAGGAUGUAGCUUGUACAGAGACCAUGUGCUGGGCUUUCUGACGGAUGAAACACACCCAUAACAUACUUUCUAGCGAGUUGAGACCUGAGCUGUUCACAGCUGCUUGAUUAGUUAUAAAAACACCUGACCCAGGGCCCUGUAAACCUUCCUCAAGAGACAGGAUGAGAUCCCCCUCUUCUCCUAAAGGGUCACCCCAGGCACGUGGAAAACGCUUUUUCCCUGGUAAGGGACCCGAGAGUGUGAAUGAGUUGAAUAUAAUGAAACAUGUGGCGGAUGGUUUGUUUUUCUUCCACACAGUCUAUGAAAGUCACAAUCAACCUCCAUCCGCCUCCGUCCUUUAUGAGACCUAAGACGUGAUGCAACUCCAAUGGGAAAUAUCAGUUGUGUCUCUACCAAGGAUGCAGAAAAACACAAGAUUCAGGCCUGUUUCUGGGAAGAAACCCCGACAGAAAUUCAGAAGAACGGGAGCUGCAUUCCAUUAGGACUUGAAUACACGAAAUGUUCGUCUCAGGACCUUCUAGAAGAAUGAGCUGGGACCCACUUUCCGAGUCCUGCUGGAACCAGUGACCGAGAUAUUGGCCAUGUGUCUGAAUGCCUGCACUAGGGUACCUACCUCCUUUUCGGAUAGACUGUAUUCCCGUAAGUAUUGCCGUCGCUCUACCUUUGGACUUUAUCCUGCAUUGUAUCUUUCAGUCUGUUCACUUAAUUUUGUUGGAGUACUUUAAUGCUGAGGGAUGCAUAAUUGGAUUGAUUUUCACUAAAUGGUACGAGCUGCAGUUCCAAUCGUGACAGAAAGCACGUGUUUCCUGUGUUAGGUACUCAAGAGCAAGGCAGAUACCCUGGGCACUUGAGAUGAGUAUGUCACUCGGUGUUUUGCCAGCCCUCUUCCCUUCCGUGGGAGACAAGGGUCUCGUUUUGGUCACACAGAAAUGUAGGUGAAGUCAGCAGAGAAGGGUCACUUCUCUUCUCUUCCAUUUGUCUCUCAAACUCCCUGUCAAUACCUUCUGCCUGUCCCUUUCCCUGACUCGAUCCCCCAGGCCCACUGGUCCAUUCCAGCCAACAUAAGGGUGUCCUCCACCUGCUGGCCUCUGCUCUGCCAUCACUCAGUGAGGAAACUACAGGAGGAUUAUGUAGUUCAUGGGUCUGAUCAAGAAAUCUCUGCUCCUCAGAGUCCUCCUACACAUGGUGCUGUCUGUGGAGACCUGGCAUCCUGGGCGUGGGUCUGACCCUCACUCCUCUCUACAGUCACUGCUGGUUCCUCAUCCUUCUCCACCAUUAGAUCUCAGCCAUUUCCUAAGGACAGAUACCUGUCUGACCCCAAGGCACCAUGGAGUCAGGGAAUAUUUCCAAAUAAUUGAGCAUAAGCACCCCAUCAAUCUAGAUAUAGGUGGUUCCCAUCACCCUGGAAAACUCCCUCAGGUUCCCCUGAGCUGAGUUGUUAACAGUCUUAGUUUAAUGAACUCCCGUGACCAUCUUUUUUGGAGGAUCAUUGUGUGGGGAUAUCUUAAUGGGAACUGUGAGAAGUGUGAGGGGACACUUCCCAGAGAUUUUGCAGAUGCUUUCUGCACUGAAUGUCUUCUUUUUCUCUUGUUCUUGGAAACAAAUGUUAUCCCUGUUUUCACAGAUACCACAGCUGAGGCUCUGUGUAGGUCCCACUGAGAACUGGUAUUAGGGCUGAGACAGCAGGAACACAGGCAAAGCGUCAUAAUAUUGUGAGAGAAGUUUGAGGAGAUGCAAAGCUGUAGUCAGGAUGAUGACAGGGGUCCAGCAGUGGUGGCAUCUGGCCAGCCCUGAAUUGUAGGAUGACUCAGCUGAUCUAGACUCUAUCCACUUUUAGUCUCACUGAGGGAUAUGAACUUGGGCAUACAGCAUUUUCAUUAGACCAAGUUAAACUCCCCAUAUCUCCAGGGCUCUUUUCCCCCCACAAAUACCAGAACCUUCAGGAAAAUCCAGGGAGACAACAAUCUUUUUAGAUGAUUACCUGUGUGCACUUUGGCAACACACUGACAUUUUGGAGAUGAACGGUGCAUUGUGCACUGAGAGCAAUCCCACAUAGCAGCUCUGUAUGGACCUCACACUCCCUGCUCAGGCUGUGGCCAGGAAUGACCUCCAACUGCAUCUCACUGACCCCAACACCCUCCCCUCUGCACCUCCUCAAACUCUGCUUACUGUACUAAACUUCCCUUCUAUUCCUGUAUGAUUCAAGGUUCCCCCGUUUUUGCCCUGGAUCCUUCACUGGUGUUUCCAUUUUGGUGAUUACAAGGUCUGAACCAUUUAAUGAAUAUCCCUCUUUCACACAGGACACUCGAUGCUCUAAAAGUUAGAGAACCCAACACAUUGUGUCUCCAACAAACGCACCAGUACUGCUGCUACGUCUGCUUUUGUGUAAAAAAUCCUCUUUCAUUUGACAAGAGAAAUGUAUAGCUCACUGUAUUACAGGGACAUGCCACUGCCCAUUGUAUGUAUGUCCUGAGAAACUUGAGAUAUGCUACAGUGUCCUCAGGCAGUUUGUAGUUGGAUUGCCAAGACUCACAGCUAUCUCUACAUGAUUGCCACAAAGUCAAUCAUGAAGAAGAUGAAUAUACUUUACCAGCCACUCAGCCAGUUCAGGUCCUCUUAACAAAUAGAGUAGGUGGAGGAGGGGGAUGUGGCCUAUAGCCCAUGACUGGUGGUGAAGGGUGGUCCACGGGGUACAGCCUGCAAGGCAAUCCUGGGAAAGGACCAGGACUCUUGCAUACAAAAUAGCCUGCAGAAAAGAAAUGAGAGGUAUGUUCAUAGGACAGAACAGAGCACCAACACCAGCAAAAAGCAGAAACCCAAAGCAGCAGUGCUCAUAUCCUACUAGCUUCCCCACCACCAGGUUCCAAGAGGACAGCAUCAGUGCCAAAAUCUCUACCCAUACUUUGGGUUCCACUUACAGCUUUGAGGUGGGAAGAGGAUGUGAUUGGGGUAAACUAAUGUCCCCACGUGUCUGGAAACGUAGGAACAGGAAGGGCCCUUUUCCUAGAAGAUUUAUAGGCUGAAUACUAAAUUAACAAAGUAGCAUAUUCCAAAUAGGAAGGCAACUAUAUCCAGGAUCACACUCCACCCUUCAUCCCCUCCACCACAGAGGCUGUUUAUUGUGUUGUGAAGAACUACAGAAUGAAGAAGGAAUGACAAUCCCAGUGUCCACACAUGGAAUCAUAGCCCUCGUGGCUCAAGUUCUGCCUCUAAGCCCCUGCCUGUGCCCAAACUACUGUCCCGACAAUGGGUUCUCCUCCUCUCUGGAAGUGCUAUCCAUGGGCACAGAGACACAUGGGGAGUUGGGGAUCCUGAGGGCCUGUAGAGGACCUGGGAAAGCAUGCUCUUAGAGAAACAGGCAGCCUAUACAUAUUAGUUGACCUAUACAUGUUAGUUAGGUUCAGCUAAUUUGUUUGAAUUCAGAGGUACUUCUCAGCUUAAGUACAGUACAUUUUGCAGGGUAAUUGUGUUCUCUGGAAAAAUGAGCUGAAAUUCUAAAAGACAAAAUUAACACAAAUGCACUUUGAUGUCUGGUGUAAGUUUCCAUGUUUUAGCUGUACCUGUGACACAGGACACGAGAGAACGUGCUCAUGUGAACACUAGCGAAGGACACCAUGGGGACUUGCCACACAGCCCCAUUCCUUCUCUACAAGAGACGCCUGUACCAACCCAUGGUGGGGGAAAGGACAAAGAUGAGAUCCUGAGAAACUUGAGGAAUGUGGUAAUGGCAGCAGACACAUUCCCCUUGCAUCACAAUGGUCUGUGGUGCCGCCUCUGCACCUUGGCCCAAGACCUGACAGCAACAAAAAUAAGGGUUGCAAAGACGAGGGCCAUGAAAUGGCACUACCACGUUGAUGGGUAUGAUUCAUUGUACGACACACUGCUUUCCUACAGAUGAUGACAAUUGACACCACCCCCAAGGAAUGUUAGCAUGGACAAAGUUUCCACACAGUCUGGCCACUACUUGAGAUCUGCAAAUGUUUAGAAACUUAGUUGUUUUAUUCUUUCUAAACUUACCUUUUUUAUCUGUUAAUACUCUAUGCAUAUGUUGACUUUAAACAUAGCAAAAAGAUUAAAAACCAAAAAAUAACAGCGGUUUCAUGAGCUCCUGGUAAUUACUAGCUGAACUCACUUGUACUUGUUUAUUUCUUCUGUAGCUAUUUUCUUUUUUUUCCCUAAUGUUUAUUUUUGAGACAGAGAGAGAGUGAGCACAUGCAUGAGCGGGGGAGGGACAGAGAGAGAUGUAACAGAAUCUGAAACAGGCUCCAGGCUCUGACCUGUCAGCACAGAGCCUGACACGGGGCUCGAAAUCCCGGACUGUGAAAUUAUGACCCGAGCUGAAGUUGGACGCUUAAACGACUGAGCCACCCGGGAGCCCCUUCUGUAGCUAUUUUCAAAUUUUACCUGCAGCUGCCAGCUGGUUCUUCUUUGCCGCCAGUUCACAGUGUCGUUUUCAGCUUCCUAAGAUGGGAAAGAUACAUACACAGUCAGGAACAAGGUCCAGAGGUUCUCCCUUUUUACCUCCCAGCACUCUUGAAGGCCUAUGCAAAUAUCCCUUCCCCCACUUCUCCCAUAAAUGCACAGACUGACAACCCAAUCAGAGAAAUGAAGUGAACACCCCAUUUAAGUUCAAGAAAAUUCAACUUCUGUCUGCUGCCACGUCUCUACUAUUGGAACUAUCUAUCUAGUUCUCUUGUUUCGUCUCCUUUAUCAUAAAGUCAUCAAAUAACAUUGUACUUUGUGCCUUCCCAGAGUUGGUCUUUUGUUUGAUAUGGCGAAGACUCAUUUCAUCAGUGAGUGAAAAACCAUAUCUGACCAACUGUACCCAUUAGGAUGAAGCAGGGGAUCAUCACUAGUCUUACACCUCCAUGGGGAGCCCUGAUUCUCAGUCCAAAAGUUGUACCAUGACACAGGCAAUCACCUGAAAGACGACCUUCCAGAAUAUGGUUUCACUAACAUUGCAGCUCACUCCCAGACAUCGCUAGAGUUCAGGACUGCAACCCCUGCCUCCACCUUCAAAAGGCCAAUCUUAGAACAACAUCAUCUCCUGACGUACAUCCUGAUAUGAACUGUCACACAGUCUGGGUUUACUUCCAGGAAAGAGAUUUCAGGUGGAAAACUCUCAACUUCAUGGAGCCAAAUCUACUUGAACAAGACUCAUUCCAUUGAUAGUGAAGGCAGCAGAAGGCAAUGCUUGGCAAGGCUGGGUUGCUGUGUUGCCCUCAGAGUAUUUUCUUUGUGGUGUUGCCUGAGAUGGUUUCAACUUGACACUUGAUGUACUCAAGAAUCACAUGCAAAAUUGAAAAUCUCUUAGAAAAUGACACAAAAGCACUAGGCAGAGAAAGGCACAUACAUUUCCUUCUGGCCUCUCAGGCAGUCCUUUGGCAAAUGCU